GGAGGGAUCAUUAUAGAGUUUUCUAAACUCCCAACCCAUGUGAACUUACCUUUUGUUGCCUCGGCAGAAGUUAUAGGUCUUCUUAUAGCUGCUGCCGGUGGACCAUUAAACUCUUGUUAUUUUAUGUAAUCUGAGCGUCUUAUUUUAAUAAGUCAAAACUUUCAACAACGGAUCUCUUGGUUCUGGCAUCGAUGAAGAACGCAGCGAAAUGCGAUAAGUAAUGUGAAUUGCAGAAUUCAGUGAAUCAUCGAAUCUUUGAACGCACAUUGCGCCCAUUAGUAUUCUAGUGGGCAUGCCUGUUCGAGCGUCAUUUCAACCCUUAAGCCUAGCUUAGUGUUGGGAAUCUACUUCUYUKAKKAGUUGUAGUUCCUGAAAUACAACGGCGGAUUUGUAGUAUCCUCUGAGCGUAGUAAUUUUUUUCUCGCUUUUGUUAGGUGCUAUAACUCCCAGCCGCUAAACCCCCAAUUUUUUGUGGUUGACCUCGGAUCAGGUAGGAAUACCCGCUGAACUUAAGCAUAUCAAUAAGCGGAGGAAAAGAAACCAACAGGGAUUGCCUUAGUAACGGCGAGUGAAGCGGCAACAGCUCAAAUUUGAAAUCUGGCCCUUGGGUCCGAAUUGUAAUUUGUAGAGGAUGAUUUUGGUGCGGUAUCUUCCGAGUUCCUUGGAACAGGACGCCUUAGAGGGUGAGAGCCCCGUACGGUUGAAUGCCUAGCCUCUGUAAAUCUCCUUCGACGAGUCGAGUAGUUUGGGAAUGCUGCUCUAAAUGGGAGGUAAAUUUCUUCUAAAGCUAAAUAUUGGCCAGAGACCGAUAGCGCACAAGUAGAGUGAUCGAAAGAUGAAAAGCACUUUGAAAAGAGGGUUAAAUAGCACGUGAAAUUGUUGAAAGGGAAGGAUUUGUGACCAGACUUUUUCUGGGCGGAUCAUCCGGGGUUCUCUCCGGUGCACUUCGCCCAGUAAAGGCCAGCAUCGGUUUUCGGCGUGGGAUAAAAGCAGUAGGAAUGUGGCUCUCUACGGGGAGUGUUAUAGCCUAUUGUAUAAUACCGCGCUGGGGACCGAGGUUCGCGCUCGCA
rnacentral:rRNA from 1 species